UAUUUAAAUCUAAAUUAAAUAUAAUAUGAAUUUUUUAUUUAAAACAAUUGAUAAAUUUGUAUUUCAAAGCUACAAACUUUUAAUUAAAAUUUAAUAUUUAAUGAUUUAAAUACUGAGUUUACGCUAGUAUUUAAUAAUAAUUUUAGCCGAAAUUUUUACCUAUUAAAUUAAUUUUUAAAUAAGAGAGGUACUANUGUAGGGAGAGAGAGAGAGACUUUUGCUGCCAUUCUCCAUCUCUCUCUCGCUCUUCCAUCCGGUUGAAGGCAAGGUGGAACUCGGGUGGAGUUUUGUCGCCGACGUCGCGCCGCGAAGCCGCUAGAGCUUGUGUUGACGCCGGGGCUUUGCGAGGAGGCCGGGCGAGCGGAGGUUUUCGCCGUCCUUGCUGUCACACAGGUACUUGGUGUUGUCGAGGUGAGUAUUCAGCAUUUCUUUGGAUUUUUGGGCAAAUUCUUACGACUUCAACUCGAGGAGAUGUUGUUUGCUGAAUUUCACCGUCGACUGUUUGUAUUUUGGCUCGUUCUCGACGUAGGAGCAUCGGAUUGCGACGAGACUUGGUUCGUUGGAUUCGGGACUGCGAGAGGAAUCCACGAAGCCCUUACUUGCGAAUUUUGGUGAAGGUUAGCUCGGUCGAAUCCCGUUUUUACUCAGCUGCUGUGGAUUUUGGACUGAAUUGAGAAAUUUUGGCGUUUUUUUAGUUUGGAGUUCGCUCGAUUUCGAGACUCGGGCAUUUUUGGUCAAUCCAGCAGGUGGUGUUGCAGCCGAGGGUGUUCCGUGCUGCCAGGGAUUAGCGAGCGAGGUGGGUUACAUCGGUUCGACUCCUAAGUUCAUAAUCGUCGACAUGUAUAUAUCUCUAUUUUAGUAAUCUAGUUUGGCUCAGAUUUUUGAAUGAUUUUAGAUUGGUAAAAUCUGAAUUCUCGAGCAUGUUUCAUAAUUUAAAUAGAUUAUACAUGUUGGACUUGAAAAUUGAAUUAGGAGAAAACCUGCGAUUUGGACCUGUCACCAGAGCGAGAGCGGAACAACAAUAGUACUCAGUGGCGCCACUGCCAAAACAAACAUCGUCACAUCACUAAUGUUCUACAGAAGGGAGGUCACAGGAUAGAAGUGAAAAGUCAGGAAGCAUAAUUCUACCGGCUAUCAUCCACAUACAACUAGCAUCCGGCUCUAAACCACUAACACAACUGCUAGUAAUGUCAAAUCUGACUACCAAUCCUAAAUCGGGACUAGGUAAGCAUAUCCGUGACCGCCGGUGACUCGUGAAUACCAACCGUCCGCCUGCCCCGUUGCGACCUAUCGGGGGCUCUAUCACAUUAUUCUACUGUCCGUGAGAGCAAGUCUCAACUGGCAUGCGCGACACCAACCUGCAAAAGCACGGAUAGCCAUAUAUGACUAGCCCAGGAGUGCACCUCGUGGCGCUCCCGCAAGCCGAGUAUGCAGCGUAUUCUGUCCGAAGCUCACAAUCAAGGCUCCAAACUAGCCAAAGUCAAGUAAAUCGACUCAAAAUGGUCUACCGCCAACAGGUAACGUGCCCCUCGCACAAAUCUGACUGCCAAAGAAGGACCAUACGUGGUCCAUCGCGUCAACUCUGACAGUAACACGCCACAAGUCCGAAAACGACACUGUAACGAAUCUGUAAAAAUCCAGCAUCUCGCGAAACCAGCACGAGUGUAAAUACAUUCUAAACUACCAUGGAGUACUCGUCUCGAAGUAAAACUGCGACAGUACAAUUUUCAACAGUCCCUAGAGCUAAAUCAGGUAGUAAANNNNNNNNNNNNNNNNNNNNNNNNNNNNNNNNNNNNNNNNNNNNNNNNNNNNNNNNNNNNNNNNNNNNNNNNNNNNNNNNNNNNNNNNNNNNNNNNNNNNCGAUAGGUAGUGUGGCAAAUGUUAACCUACUACGAUGCAUGAUAUCAUUCUACUUAGCAUGAAUAGCAAAAUAUGAAAGAACUAUGAUGCAAGUAAAUGUCUCCAACUAUCAUUGACUGUCACAGUGUUGACAUAGAAAAUUCCGUUGUUUACUAUUCUAAUCAAUGUUCAAGUUAGUUUACUAAGUCCAUCAUCUGUCCACAUGUCCAUAAUGGAUAUAUUAAAAGUCAUCUGAAGAGACCCACCGAAGGCUGUUCUGGGCCCUUGAGACCCACCGUAGGCUGUGCUGGCGGUGACGAGCUAAUGGGCCCGUGGUUAGGUUCAACCUCCCACACCUAGGAGUGAGCCUGCGCGCACUGGCAAUCCAGUUCGAGCGCCCAAUCGCCGCACGGCCGACAUAUGUUCGCGAUGGCCAUCUCCGGGAGUUGCCGCGCUUGUAGGUAGCGACCCUCACAAGGCAUGUGCGACAUGAAGCCACAAUCCAAGUAGUCAAACGAUCUGUCGCAUGUACCAAGUCCUUAUGUUAAUAAAUGGAAUGUGUCAAGUUAUCCUAUGACCUAUCCCUAUGCUCAUCACUGUUUCUACAUGGAAUAUAGCGGGUGUAUGUGGCCUAUCAUAUAUUCUAUGUUGCGUUUUCAUAGCUUACUUAGGUUAUCAAGUGCCCUUUUAUGAUCACACUAUUAUUCUCUAUGUCAAAGCGAUAUAAGUAUGUUCUCAAGUACGCAUUCUAGUCAUAAUUUCAAGGGAUGUAUUUACCACUUCUGCAAAAUUAAUGCUCUAUUUUCCACAUGAAUGCAUUCUUACUAGUAUAGCUCUACAUAUUAUAGUGUGAAAAUUUACAUAAUACACGGGCAUGCGGAUUAUAGCAGUCUUUAAAAUUCAUAUUAAAUUCCAUUUAGCAGUAGAAUAUGAACUAAAAAUAAUUUACGACAAGUAGGAAAGAGCAUAGGGCGCCAUUUCGCCACUUUCACGAAGCAAACCACCGGAUGACAACGAAACUCCUGCGUGCGACUCCAACGAGUGGUUCCUCUAGUCUCCUUAGUCCCUUAGAGGUACAAGACAUAGUGUCAUCUAGUCCAGACAACAACGACGCUAAGCCUUCAAUAUUAAGCAUAUAGGGCUAGGGUAGUACGAAAACUCACCGAUUUGGAAGAGAAGCUUCUGCACGAAUCUCAAAUGGGAGCUAGCGAUCUUCAAUUAACCUAAACAAAGGUUCUAAUCCAUCAAUUUGAUUACAAAAGGCUCCAAAACGAAAUCCCAAUUUAACCUACAAAUCCAAAUUAGGUUAGAUCUCAUGACAUAUCCAAUAAAACUCGAAUUAGAGGACGGAGAACAUGCUUGCUUUACCCUUAGAAGCCUUACAAAACAAGCUCUAAAUCUCUAUAAAUAUCCCAAGAUCAUUCGGGUCCACUUAGUCCGAAUCCAAGCUUGAGGCUUCCACUCAUGGAGGAAACCCAAAAGAGGCCAGAACAGCAAGGAGGAUGAGAUCCAAACCCACACAAAAAUCCUAUCAAAAAUGGAUGAGAAACGUCAAGGAGAGGGUAUUCUACCUUGUCCUCCUCAUGUUCUAGGGCUUCAAAGAGCAGCAUGAGGGCUGGGUGAAUAUAUAGGCGUCUGUUGCAACAAUCUGCAAAAAUCACCCUCUUACGAAGACAAGCCCAAACUGCACUGGUUACCGGUACACGGUUUGUGACCCGCGUACACUCUCACGAAAGCCAAACACGAGCCUGGGGUUUUGGUGGCUAGGAAAUGGUCUGAGUGUACGCGUACAACAACCGUACGGUACGAGCCAUCCAACCCGUACGUGUACAGCAUGCGAACCCGUAAACCGGUACGCGGCCUAGCUGGAAGGCUACCCCGAGCAGCUGACAAAUCUACUUUUUUUUGGAUUUUGUACACAGCCUUUAAACACACAAUUCUCGGGACCUUGCGAACCAGUAGUGUCGGCAAAACACUGUCAACGACCCUACCAGAAAGUCUGAAAGUUCGACACACGAUCAAGCACUCGAACCUCAGCAUUUGCAAAGUCCAGUGUGUUAACAUUCACACCUCUAAAAGGAGUUUUCAGUCGCCGAAACUCGAAACUAAAAGUAUCACUCAGGGCUCCACUGAAAAGAUGGGGAUAGCGAUCCUGCAAGCGCGCUCCUCAGCUCCAUCGUGCCCUCCCGCUCCCGUGUGCUCAAAGGACUUCACAUACGGAAUAUCCCGAGUUCCGCCAGCUGUUCCUUCACUCGCGCAGCCAACAAAAUUCUUCACGGUCGUUGCUCCUCGAAGCUCAAAUCCUCGCGCAGUUCCAAUGGUUACGGCUUCCAAACAUGAACAUUGGAUCAUUGAAUGUGAUCUCGAAGGACCGAUUACAUGAAAGAGGGUGGGGGGGGAGGAAAAACGGUUUGCGCACGCCGGAUAGGUCGUGGUUAGAGCAAGUCGAUACGCUACCGGCCUACACCGCUCCAGAUAUAAUACGGUCAAUGAAACGGAGGUGCUCAACUUUUCCCGAAUGCCGAUAUCUCUUGAUUCUCUAGUCGGCGAGCCUUCAAAGAACACUAUGAUCUCAACUUGGAAACUCCAAGUAUCGCCGUCGUUCGUCGGCGCGUAGCGUCCCUGUUCUACUGUGCCGCCGUCAAAGUUCGCUCCCGAGCAAUCAGAACCUUAUCCUCAGCCUUCCUGGACGCACAUCCAGAGGCUAGAGCCAAACUCCGCCAACUUUCGCAUCCAAUUGAAAGUUGGCGAUUACACUUUCCCGUCCAUAAAGUGUAUCGAAUGGGCGCCAUCUUGAUGCUCGGUGAUAAACUGUUGUUUAUAAAGCAAACUCCCCAUAGGUAGAUGCUGCGACCAUCCUCCCUGGAAAGUGCUUAUCACACACCGGAGCUAUCCUCUAAAAGUCUGAAUAGUGGCCUCAACUGUCAUCACUCUGCGGGUUGGAAUGCUUGCUAUGAAGUUCCAGGCGGUGCCUAGGGCGGUCCGCAGACUCCCCAAAAGUGAGACACAAACGGUGGUUGUCUCGAUCAAGAUACAAUCGAUGUAGGCAUCCAUGAAGUCUGACAAUCUCAUUCAAGGUACAUUGUGCGAGUUCUCUCCUGGUCAAGUCGUAUGAAUAGGUCAUGAAGUGCGUGACUUCAGUCAGUCCCUAUCCACGAUCACCACAAAUUAGCCGGUUUACUGCCCGCUGUGCAAGGCGGCGAUAUUCAUGUCACAAAAUCCGAUGGUGAUUUCUCCCUAUUCCACACGGAAUAGGUAAACUCUGACAGUUUUCCAGCGGGACUCCGGUGCUCAGCCAUUUACUAUGUUUUGCAAGUUAAGCAUUCUAGCCGAUAAACUCGCCAAAUUCUUUUUCUAUCCAGGCCACAAAGAAGCAACUUUAAAUCCUUAUAACAUUUUGUUUGAUCCCGGCAUGUAUAGCAUACGGCGCUCGGUGCCGCUUGUUCCUUGAAAAGAAUAUCUUGCUUAAUCCCCGCAUCCGCAGGUACACAUUUAUCGCCACGGGAAACGCAUCAAUCUAUUGAUCAUCAACAGGAAGUCGUGCGUAACACCGAUCAACAUCUUUACCUCUAAAUCUCUUUGCAACUUCACAUCGGAAGCUGCUUUCUUUGAUUCUUUCCAAUAACAGUAGGUGUAUCAGUCAAUCUCGCAAUAGGUUUAUAGGAGUCACUAUCUCAACUGCCAACCGCUUCACUGCUUCGAAUCAAAUGGCGGUUGAGUCACAACAUGCAUCGCUAAGUUUUCCGUCGAUUUGUCUACUUAGCAUCGCCACACGUUAGCCUUGCCCGGGGGGUGGUAAAGAAUCGUCAGAUCAUAUCUGCAGCGCUACCAACAUUGCGCUGUGUCUCAGGUUAAAACUCCUUCUGAAGUAAAACAGGUACUUUAGCCUUUGGAUCCGUGAUAUACUUCACACAAUCGGCCAUAAAGAUAGUGGGCCAUAGCUUCAAUGCGAACAACUACAGCCGCCAAUUACAAAUCAUGCGUGGGUAGUUUUUAUAUUCCUUUGAAGUUGGCGGAGAGCAUACGCGGAUCACCUUGCCAUCGUGCAUCAAUACACAGCCCAAACCAUUAAUGAAGGCAUCACUAAUGAACCACAACCUGCUCCAGCUACUGGUAGGUCAAGAUUGGGCAGUCGCUCAAUCGUCUGCUUAACUUCUUGGAAACUAUUCGCGGUCGCACGCGAUCGAUCAAAUGAACUUAAGACACUUUAUGGGUGCCGCUGUGAGGGAGAGUAGAAAGGUUUAGCAAACCCUCUACAAAUCUCCGUAGUAAACAGGCCAAUCAAGGAAGCUCCGUAUCCGUCGUGACGGCUCCGCCGGGCCUCGGCACUCUGAUUGUUUAUCUUCUUGGGACUCCUGCGGCCUACUACUACCAUUGAUCCUGAAUAUCAAAGUGUCCAAGGAAGGCUACCUCUCGAGCCAAAAUUCACAUUUCUUCAACUUAGCAUAGAAAGCUCCUUUUCCGAAGCACAUUGGGAGUAUCAAUCCUCAAAUGCUCCUGGUGAAUCUGCUCAUCUCGAGAGUAGACCCAAAUGAUCGUCGAUGAACACGACGAACAUGUCUAGGUAAGCUUGAAAACACGGUUUCAAUAGAUCCAUAAAAGCUGCCGGAGCAUUAGGUAAGCCCAAUACGGCAUACUGUUGAACUCAUAGUGUCCAUCGUGUUCAUAAAGAGCCGUCUUGACACAUCUCAGGGCCUUGAUCUUAAACUGGUGGUAUCCCGAUGACAAGGUCUAUCUUGAAUACACACACUCUGAAGAUGAUGCAACAUGUCGUCGCAUUACUCGGAACGGAAUACUUGGUACCAAACCCCCAGCAACAGCAGAAAAAAUACACAAAAAAAGUUGAUCGCUGACACUUAUUAAGUUCACGAUAAUCCACGCAAGGCGAAGUCGAAUCCGUAUUUUGUCUUGACGAACUAGGUGCUCCCCAAAAACGGUGAAAACUUCGGUCGAAUGAAGCCUUGUUCAAAAAUCUGUGAUUGUGCCCUCAGCGUCCUUCAGCUCAUGCCGGCCAUCCCUAUAGGGUAGCCUUUGAGUUGGGGUAGUCAGGGACAAGAGACUUUCUAUCACAAAUCAUAUCUCCCUUAUCAGGAAGAUUACCGGUAGCCUCAGCUGGAAACACAUACAGGAAUUGCCGCAACCACCGGUCUCCUCCAAGAUCCUAGGCGGCGUCAUUAUCGCAACAACAAAAUCAGCACAACACUAAGCCAAAAUAAGGUAAAACAACCUACUACUAAUCAGCUAGCUAGGACGGAUGUGGAUCGUUAUUCGACAAACAGCAACUCAGGCAUCAUCAAAUAACACCUCGUCUGCCACGGUUCUCUAAUAAGUAACCAGGUUGCGGAUUCUUGACAAUCUAAUCGAAUGGCUAAUAUUGCGUAAACACAAUCCUGCCAAGACCCACCAUAAAAAUCACCAAGCUUGCGCUAAGACAGCUAGCAAAUUAUAGGCAGUGAUCCAUGCUCCUACGCGAAAGGUAGGGCAAACUGGGGCUAUACUCUCUAAUAUUCCAAAAUGUGGGUACAGGGUAAUACAUGUCCGAUAUGCAACAAAGAAACCAACGGAGAUGCAUUUGCACUCGGCAACUCGCGUCUAUAAAAUGAAUUGCGAUACACAGUAUCAAAAAAAGCCAGAACUAAUGCAUCAAGUAAUGUACUGCAAACCAAUACCUUUCAUUAUCGCCUUUCUACUUUUAUUGUCACUGACAUCUUUUGUAGCUUUGGGCCUUGUGGUGCAUUCACUGAAGUCAGUAAUUGCCCACUGGGAACUAUUUUUAAUAGUUCUCAUGCCCCUGUUUUGUGGUUUACUUUUCAGAGCCUUCGGCACCGGCGGAGGCACGGGAUCGCGGCAAGGGGAUCGCUUAGAUAGCUAGCGAGGAGCGGUACCUUGCCUAGGUGGUUUGCUCAUCCUUUUUGUAGUUGAGAGAGAGUGAGAGUUUUUGUAUCCAUGUAUAGAGACCACCUAUGUACCCACUUUUAACUCUUGUAUUUGGGAUUUCCAUUGUACUCGCUUUAUGUUUUAUUUAGUGGUUUUACAGUUUUAUCCAUAUCUCUUGUUGUAGCUAUUAGACAUUUACUAUGCUCUGAUAUUCCUGGAUGUCUUUUAUUAUUGCUUUUAUUAUCGUUGUUUUUAGACGCCUUAUAUGUUGUAGACAUAUGGCGGGUCUGGACACGCGCCGGGCGGGCUUCCGCUGGGUCCCGGGGCGUGACACCUUAUUCCUCUUCUUUUCCUUUCUUCUUCUUGUCUUCUUCUUCUCCUUCUUGUCUUCUAGAGAGAGAAAGAGAGAUGAGAGGGGGAGUGUGAGGGAGAGAAUGAGAGGAAAAGCCCUCAAAGCCCUCCACUUAACCAUUAGGUUGCACAAAUGCAAUAGGCCCCUCAACUUUCACUUUAUUGAACUGCUUGAAUUGGACAGUUUUCGAGUUCGGGGACCGGUCUCCCCGACUUGGGACCGGUCCUAGAGAGCUCUCCCGCAGCUCAAUGAGGGCUUUCGCACGAGGCAAACGGUCUCUCCCUGGGAGACCGGUCUCUCGGGGACCAGUCUCUCCCCACAAGGACCGGUUCCCAAGAGCUGGUUUUCUGAGGACUUAGCCAAUUUUUCAGCUUUGUCAGUUUUCACGCAUUCGGCGACCGGUCUCUCCCACCAGGGACCAGUCCCCGAGAGCUCAAAAACUGCAGUUUGCAUAUUUUUGAUUCUUAAGCUCUCGAAAACCUCCCAUAACGCACUUUUGAUCAUUUUAACACCUUCGAACUUUUCGAAGUGUACCAUCCUCGCACUUUGGUCAACUUGACUAAAGUUCGAUAUUUAUUUUCCGAAUUUUCGGUAUAUUACACAUCUACUACUUUCCAUGUUUUAGACAUGAUGACAUAGAGAUAGGCCUACAAGAAAGUUGUGACGUAUUCCAUGUUGUUAGACAUGAGGACUUGGUACUUGAGACGGAUCUUUUGUUACUUGCCAUUGUGCUCAUUCGCACAUGCUUGUGAGGGUCGAUUCCUACAAGCUGGCACUCCGGAGAUGGCCAUCGCGAUACAUAUUCGCCGUGCGAGAUUGGGCACCGAAGUGGAUUGUCGUGGGAAAGGCUCAUUCCUAGAGUGAGGAUGUUCACUACCACGGGGCCAUUAGGCUCGGCACCGGCCAGACAGCCUACGGGUAGGUCUCAGGGCCAGACUAUCUCCCCCUUUGGCAAUUUCGUGACAAAACUCACACAAACUCAAAAAUUACAAUUUAAAGAGAAAACGAAGUUCAAUGUCAUCACCAAAACAUCGAACCCCUCGCGUGUAAUCCAAAUACAAUAUGAAACUCAGAAUUACAUCAAAACUCCUAAAACAGACUCUAUGACUUAGACGCAACUAGGAGUCUUGAAGUCUUGAAAUCCUGCAAAACAAAUCACUCAAAAAUGAUUAGCCUUAAAUUCUUAUACCUUCUCCUCCAAUGUUCACAUCUCCCCCUUUGUUCUUGAAUUCAUCAUCCUCAGCUCCAGUUUAAUGCCUGUUUAUCUAUGGCUCUCCGCCCUUAUCCGAAUCCACGAACGCCUUUGUUCACGCCGAAUCCACGACGCGUUCAUGAAGAGCAUCAUGAUUAUGGUGAUCCUUCGCUUAGGAGUAUCGUAGAAAACAGAGAAAGAAACUCCAAACAAAGCGGAGAUCAAAUCGUCAUAUAGAUAUCAAAUUACAAUAUUCGAUUUGACCUAAAAGAGGCUAAUAUGUAGAAAAUAGGUUUAGAUGAAAUCCAAGCCUCUAGGUUUCUAAAUAUGUAUUUUCGUGAUGCUUGAUCUGUUAGAGAACCCAUAGCUUAUUUAUAGACUUUAGAAUCAAUCGGAGUCGAAUUAGAAAGUUUUCACGGUUUUACACUGUGUACCGGUACACGAAAGGCUGUCACCGGUUACACAAGGACGGAACAGAAAUACGAAGCCAAGUCAGUGGCUGUACCGGUACGCUCUUGAUUGCUGUACCGGUACACAAUGCAAUUUUUGGGAUUUUGCAUUGUUUCGAGUUCCGUACACUUCCGAAGCACUUUCUAAUCAACUAUACUUUUGAUUAAAUGAUUCUAAUGCCUAUAACUAAGUAUGAAUCACCAUAACAUGAAUUUAAAACUUUACCUGAGCAUCGUGAUUCAUAUCGUGAGUUAUUUUCCAACUUCUUCGAAAUCUUGAAUUCUUCGAUCUUCGACGAUAUGUACCGGUUCUUCAAGACUCCGACUCACUUCACGAAACUUGCCAAUACAAAAUCCUUAACACAGACAACCUUCGGGCGGGUCUCUUCAGAUUUGAUUUUGAGCAUUCAUCAUGCCAUGUAGAUAUUGAUUCGAAUAGUAAACAAUGACAUCUUUACUAUUUGAUUCAAGGACAUCAUACUAGCGAUGCUUGGGUACAUUCAUACGAGAAUAGCUUUUCUUACUUAUGCUAAAUCAUGCUAAGUAGAGAUAUCAUGUGGUAGCAAUAUUCAUGCUUAUUUACUUGUCGUACUUAUCGUUUUUGUUUAUUUUUGCUUAUUGACCCCUUUUUAGUUUGGGCCUAGUGGUGCAUUUCACUGAAGCCAGUAAUUGCCCACUGGGAAUUAUUAUUCAAUAGUUCUCACGCCCCCUGCUUUAUGGUUUUAUUUCAGAGCCUUCGGCACCGGUGGAGACACGGGAUCGCGGCAAGGGAGUCGCGUAGCUAGUUAGCGGGGAGCUACUUUUGAGCUUAGGUGGCUUACUCUUUCUUUUAUUGUAUUAGAGAGAGAGAGAUUUUGAGUACCAUGUAUAGAGAGACCACCUAUAUACUCUUUAUGCUUAGCUUUUGUAUUUGGGAUUUCCUUGGUGCUACUUUAUGGCUUUAUUAGUGGAUUUCAGUUUUAUACUUAUCCCUCUGUUGUAGAACAUAGUCAUUUACUUUGCUCUGAUAUCGUUAGAUCCUUUGUUCUACUACUUAAUUUAUUGUUUUGUUGUAGACGCCUUGUAUGUUAUAUACAUAUGGCGGGUCUGGGCACGCGCCGGGCGGGCUUCCGCUGGGUCCUGGGGCGUGACAUCAAUAUAAAGAACUUAGACAUAAAAAAAGCCCGGUUGCUUCAGGAUUGACACCCCCUACCUUUUGGUGAUGUCUUGAAGCUACGAGUCCGUUUCCAAGAUUUUUGGAAGCUUACGUCACAAGCUACGAUAAUCUAUACCUCUACGGCUUAUUUCCUCAAUAUCUUCACGUAGCCUCGACGAAUACUCAAACCGAGUGCACGAACGCGUUCGGGGACCUAACAAUUAGGUUAGAGAAGGGUCAAUUGAGAUCAAAACCCCUCAGAAGAAAAUUUUCUCUUUUGGAUGCCCUAGAAGCCCCAAUAUUGCAAUAGCUCUAUUCUAGCAUUUAUUCUUGCAAUCAAUGAGUUUCAUUACUUUUAGAGGUCUAUUAGAGUCCAUCUAGCUAGGUUCUAACACUCCGUUUGGCUCAGGUAUAAAGGGGGCGAUAAGGGGGAUAUCCCCCCCUUUAUACCCAAACAAAAAAAAGUGAUGGUUGGAACAAGUGUUCCCACCAUAACGGGUUGUACCAGGUACAACUCGUUAUGGGUGGGAACAAGUGUUCCCACCCGUGGUUGGAACAAGCUUGUUCCCAAGCUUGUUCCAACCUACUUGAGUAAAGAGAGAGAGAGAGAGAGAGAGACAGAGAGAGAGAGAGAGAGAGAGAGAGAGAUUUUUAUUUUAAAUUUAAAUAUAAAUUUUUAAAAUUUAUAAUUUUUAUAAUUAUAAUUAAUAAAUUAAAAUUUUAAAUUUUAUUAAAGUUUAAAUUUUAAAUUUGAUAUUUUAAAUUUGAUAUUUUUAGUUUUCAAAUUUUAAAUUUGUUAUUUUAUAUCUUUGAAAUUUAAAUUUGGUCUGAAAUUUAAAAUUUAAUAUUUAAAAUUUAAAUUUUUAAUAUUAAAAUUUAAAUUUUAAAAUUUUAAUUUAAAUUUAAAAGUUAAAAUUUUAAAUUUAAAAUUAUAAGUUUAAAAUUCAAUUAUAGGGAUAAUAUUAUUAUUUUCUAUUUAUAACUACCAACUAUUCCUCUUAUUCCCAAAAACCAUCCAAACACAAUUUUUCUACUUCCAGAUUAUACUCACAAUUUCAUCCAAACAAAAAAAUACCCUUGUUCCUACAAAAACCCAUACUUGUACCUAUCCCCGGUAUAACUAGUUCCUACUAAUUCCCGAUCCAAAUGGAGGAGAUCAAAGCAAACCCUAAGCUACUUGCCAUGAAAG
rnacentral:lncRNA from 1 species